AAGUAGCGCAAUGGGUAGCGCGUUGGACUUCUAAUCCGAAGGUUAUGGGUUUGAGUCCCGCCUGCGCUG